GGCGGGGCGGUGUCAAAUUCCUUGCUGAAUAUAACUCAGCUGAGCUGGGAUUUGAACCCAGGGCUGUGUGGCUCCCGUCAGUGACACCCACAACCACCCAGUACUGGCUCCCAGGGGGAAUGGGGGUCAUGGAGAAAGGAGGUCAGAUCUUGAAGUGUCAGGUCUUCUGCACAUCCCAAACUUGAGGACAAAAGCGAGGAAAGCUAUUUGUCCCCACUUCACAGAUGGGGAAAUGGAGGGUUGGAGUCACCUACCCAAGGUCACACAGAGCAGAGUCUGAAUUAGAGCCCAGAUCACCCUUGAUUCCAGAAUCUCUACUGCUAGCCCCGUAAUGCUUAGCAUUUCUGGGGUACAUCCUGGAUAUUUAAUGUCAAUAUUUGUGAAUUAAGAUGGAGGUGUCAGCUCUCUGCUUCCAGAAAAAAAAAAAAAAAACUAUCUCUCCAGGAAGCAAGAGAACCAGCAAGGCUCUCUGGAGAAGACAGGAAUUGCAAAGUCAGGAGGAAGGAGAGAGAAGGUGAGAGACAGGGGAACGGGGGCAACCCUGGUGGCAAAGAGUGGCCGCUGAGAACACGGGCUGUGAAGUCCGAUAACAGGCUGGACAGGUGCAAACCAUCACAUCCUCACUUUACACUUCAGGACACUGAGGCCCAGGAGGGCAGCCUGGGUGACACUGUGGGUUAAAUCCACUCCACCUACCGCCACGAAUCAAGGUCUUUUGGAGACGUGCAUGUCCUCCAAGCAGCCCAGAGCUUAAACAACAAGAGGCUUGCCUGAGUUGUUUUUUGGGAAUUGGAGUCAGCUGUGUAGUUCAAGCUGAGCUGGUUGAGACAGGAUAGGACCACCCACCCUUCAACCAGGAUGGGCGAGAGCCUCCAUGUGAACUUUUGCUCGCUCAGAGGCCUGUAGCUGAGUUCCACCUGCAUAGAACUAUCACGCCUAUCACACCUAUUCCCCAUCACCUUCCCCACGCCCCCCCACGCCUCAGACGCCUGGGAGGGCCUUACUGACUCAUUCUUCAUUCCAUAAAUACUCAAGCCCCAUUCAGGGAGGUGGUGGGUGAGUUUGAGAUGUGUUUGCUCCUCUCCCCAUUUGGCUGUCUUGCUAGGAAAGGCGGAACCAAGUUCGUGUUCCCGACACCCAGCGAGGCUGAGCAAACUGAGAAGUUGGAGUUUGGAGCAGAGAAAGGUUGGUUGUAGCGCCCAGCAAGGAAAACAGACAAGUUAUACUCGAAAAGACACCGACUCCCUGAUGGUUUUCAAGCAAGAGUUUUUAAAGUAACUGUUGGAAUCUGUCUGCCCUUUGGAACUCAGGGAAGGUCUAGGAGACGGAAAGUUUUUUCCUACACAUCACAAAGGACCCAGAAAGGCUUUCGUACCAGGACCAUCCUCUCGUUGCUACAAACCUUCGGCGUCUCAGCGUUUUGGCUCCUGUACGUCAGGCAAGAACCUGGUUUGGAUGCAAAUUUGGGGAACCAGCCAGGAGGAUAAACCUGUGCAAAGAAGAUAGAAGAUUUUGCCCAAACAGGAAAAGAAGAUUUUGCCCAAACAGGAAAGGAAGAUGAGAGAAACCUGUUUUGCUUGAUUCACAUGCAAAGGAGUCAUUGCUCUUGUGUUGCCAGUGCUGUGAGGUCAGCCAACACUCUGCCUUCUUCUCUACCCUGGAAGAUGGUAUUGCUGCUCUUUCCCUGCCAGGGUAUGAGCCACAGCCUCAGGCUCUGGUGCCCCCUGGUCUCUGAGGGUCAAGAAAGAAAUAGAAGGGGUCUCCCCCCUCCUCAUUAACCUGCUGGGGUACUGACUUGGCCAGGGAGCCACCACUCAGGUGGGGCAACAUCGCUUAAGCCAAGUUCCCCCUGGGGAUGUGAAUGCUGAGACUGGGCAAAGGUGAUGGGAUGGAUCUGGGUCCACUCCCUGUUUCCAGGUUCAGAUUUAAUUGGAAGAACCAUAUGCCAACUUAAAAGACCCCAAGAGAAUGGAGAUCUUCCUUCACCGAUCUGUGCAAACCAACACGGGCAGCUGUUCAAAGCUUACUACAUACCCUGCUCACUUCAGAUGGACACAGAAUGUUGGAUAAGCCUGGGGAAGGAGGCAUGUCUGCCCCAUACAAAACCCCCUGGCCACCCAGGACAGGCCACAGCAAACAUAGCCGUACCUUCAGUGGAUCCCAGUUGGAUGUGAAUGCUGGGGAGAGACCCGAACUUGACUGACACAGAGAAUGCAUUUUUGCAGGACUGCAAAGAGGGUGCAAGAUGAGCCUCCGUAAAGUAUAGAAGGUAAAACAAAAUUGAAUGAGGAUCCUUCAAAAUUUCUAGAUGGAAUCUUGAAAGGCUAUAGGCAAUACACAGAAGUAGCCUUGAGGCCCUAGAGAACUUGAAAAAAAAAUUUUUUAAUGUAAGUAUAGUUGAUUCAUGUUAACUUCUGAACAGCAAAGUGAUUCAGUUAUACAUA